rnacentral:rRNA from 1 species
CGGACGGGUGAGUAACGCGUGGGUAACCUGCCUCAUACAGGGGGAUAACAGUUAGAAAUGACUGCUAAUACCGCAUAAGCGCACGAGAUCGCAUGAUAAAGUGUGAAAAACUCCGGUGGUAUGAGAUGGACCCGCGUCUGAUUAGCUGGUUGGCGGGGUAACGGCCCACCAAGGCGACGAUCAGUAGCCGACCUGAGAGGGUGACCGGCCACAUUGGGACUGAGACACGGCCCAAACUCCUACGGAAGGCAGCAG